rnacentral:rRNA from 1 species
UACGACUACAUAUCAGGCAUAUCAAUAAGCGGAGGAAAAGAAACUAACAAGGAUUCCCUUAGUAACGGCGAGUGAAGCGGGAAGAGCUCAAAUUUGAAAUCUUCAAGGUUCUACCUUGACGAAUUGUAGUUUAAAGAAGUGUUUUCUGUUAGAUGAGUAGCAAAAGUUCCUUGGAAUGGGACAUCAUAGAGGGUGAGAAUCCCGUAUUUGGUUAUUCAUUCUAGCUUUGUGAUACACUUUCAAAGAGUCGGAUUGUUUGGGAAUGCAGUCCAAAAUGGGUGGUAAAUUUCAUCUAAAGCUAAAUAUUGGCGAGAGACCGAUAGCGAACAAGUACCGUGAGGGAAAGAUGAAAAGAACUUUGAAAAGAGAGUUAAACAGUACGUGAAAUUGUCAAAAGGGAAGCGUUUGACACCAGUGUUGUUUUUCCGAAAAUCAAUUACGAAUGGCUUGAUUUUGUGUUGUAUUGACCUUAUCAGCUUUCUGCACUUUUUUCGAGUCUUUCUUAAUGCACUUUUCGGUUAACAAGUCAACAUCAAUUUCUUUUGUUGUAAAAGAGUAUUCGGAAGGUGGCUUUCUUUUCGGAGAAAGUAGUUUAUAGCCCUAUACUUCUACAAUCGGAGAGAUUGAGGUCUGCAGCGUAGAUCCUUCGGGGUUAGAUACACUUGUGCUAAGUUGUAGCUUUUCAUAGACAACUUGUUGACUAUGUUUAGUCAUGCGGCUUACUCGCUUGUGCUAUUUUACCUACGCUUAGGAUGUUGAGUAGCGACAUACGCAC